rnacentral:rRNA from 1 species
UACGGAAGGUCCAAGCGUUAAUCGGAAUUACUGGGCGUAAAGCGCGCGUAGGUGGUUUAUUAAGUUGGGGGUGAAAGCCCCGGGCUCAACCUGGGAACUGCAUCCGAAACUGAUUCUCUAGAGUACGAAGGAGGGAGGUAGAAUUCGCAGUGUAGCGGUGGAAUGCGUAGAUAUUGUGAAGAAUACCAAUGGCGAAGGCAGCCUCCUGGUUCUGUACUGACACUGAGGUGCGAAAGCGUGGGUAGCGAACAGGAUUAGAUACCCUGGUAGUCCACGCCGUAAACGAUGACAACCAGCUGUUGGGAAGCAAUGGUUUUCAGUCGGAGCAGCUAACGUCUUAAGUUGUCCGGCUGGGGAGUACGGCCGCAAGGUUAAAACUCAAAUGAAUUGACGGGGACCCGCACAAGCGAGUGGAGCAUGUGGUUUAAUUCGAUGCAACGCGAAAAACCUUACCUACUCUUGACAUCCUUGGAAUCUCUUGUAAUGAGAGAGUGCCUUUUGGAACCAAGUGACAGGUGCUGCAUGGCUGUCGUCAGCUCGUGUCGUGAGAUGUUCCGUUAAGUCGGAUAACGAGCGCAACCCUUACCCUUAUUUCCCAGCGGUUCGGCCGGGAACUAUAAGGGGACUGCCGGUGAUAAACCGGAGGAAGGUGAGGACGACGUCAAGUCAUCAUGGCCCUUACGAGUAGGGCUACACACGUGCUACAAUGGGAAGUACAGAGGGACGCCAAAGCGCGAGCUGGAGCUAAUCUCAUAAAUCUUUUUGUAGUCCGGAUUCCAGUCUGCAAUUCGACUCCAGGAAGUCGGAAUCGUUAGUAAUCGCGGAUCACCACGCCGCGGUGAAUACGUUCUCGGGUCU